UACGAAGGGGGCUAGCGUUGCUCGGAAUCACUGGGCGUAAAGCGCACGUAGGCGGACCUUUAAGUCAGGGGUGAAAUCCCAAGGCUCAACCUUGGAACUGCCUUUGAUACUGGGGAUCUCGAGUCCGGAAGAGGUUGGUGGAACUGCGAGUGUAGAGGUGAAAUUCGUAGAUAUUCGCAAGAACACCAGUGGCGAAGGCGGCCAACUGGUCCGGUACUGACGCUGAGGUGCGAAAGCGUGGGGAGCAAACAGG
rnacentral:rRNA from 1 species